rnacentral:rRNA from 1 species
UACGAAGGGGGCUAGCGUUGCUCGGAAUCACUGGGCGUAAAGGGUGCGUAGGCGGGUUAUUAAGUCAGAGGUGAAAUCCUGGAGCUCAACUGGGAGGGUGCGCCGAAUACUGAAUGACUUGGAGUGCGGGAGAGGUGAGUGGAAUUCCUGGUGUAGCGGUGAAAUGCGUAGAUAUCAGGAGGAACACCGGUGGUGUAGACGGCUCACUGGACCGUAACUGACGCUGAGACACGAAAAGCGUGGGUAGCAAACAGG